rnacentral:lncRNA from 1 species
GUUAAACAUAGAAAAUUAGUUUUAAAAAUAUAAUUAAGACAUUGAAAUAGUAAUUUUAAUACGGGAAAUUUUUUAUUUCUUGGGUUAAAUAACUUCUUUGGUGUGCAUUGAAAUUUUAUUCGUUAACCGUUUGAAUUCUUCAAAACCUAGUUCCUCUGUAAUGAAUCAAAAUAGUACAUACAAAUUGCAUAUAAUUAUUUAUCUAAAAUGUUAGUACCUACGGACUCUUGUUAAUUCAAUAGAAAAUUAUAACUUAGCGUGUGUUGGGCGCGGGUGCGCCGACCCAAAUUGGCUCAGGUCGCCUGCUUAGCGUCGGAGGGAGAUGCUCGUAACCAUUCAAACUGUACCCCCCUUCGUCCCCAACCUCUCUCCCCCAUGUAAAAAAUAUGUGCCCCAUGCCGGAGCUCCGCACAGAGGGCUCGUGCAUCCCGCCCCUUCCCGCAUAGUGAGCUCGCGCCCCUACCCCUCGCCGCACAACCAGCUCGGUGCCCACACACGUUGCCGCAAAUCCAGCUCAUCACCGCGCCAUGGUGCAAUCGCCGUGGUUGGUUCCAGCUCUUCUAGAUCACGGUUGCAGCUUCUACCCUCACGGUCAUAGUUACAGAUGGCCACGACCAUCAUUCAAACACGCGGUGGUGGCCAUCACAGUUUGACACGGCCACGGUUCGCCGUCGCUGCUUGCCGCUCGCGCUGUUAGUGGGUAGCAUCUUUCCUAUGAUGGUUGCAGCUUAUCGUCGCCAUGCAACUUCUUCACAGGUGGUUCCAUCAAAUUCGGGUUUUGGUUGCAGCUUCUUUCCGGGGCGGUUCCAUCAAAAGUGGCUAUUGGUUGCAACUUCUAUAGCGACUGUUGAGUCAAUUUUCAAUGUUGCUCGCAGCUUCUUCACGGGUGGUUCCAGCAAAUGUGGAUGUAGUUGUAGCUUCUUCGAGUGGCCGUUCUAGCAAAAAUGGCUAUUGGUUGCAGCUUCUUUGCCGGGAGUUGAAUCAUUUUCGGAUGUUGUUCUUUGCUCGGCGGUUCCAACAGAAAUGGAUGCUGGUUGCAGCUUCUUCACCGGUCGGUUCCAGGGGAAAAGGUUGAUCAUUGUGUUGGGGCAGCUCUCUCUAACUCAUCGGACUGGAGGUAGAGGAAGAAGAACGAGUUGAACAUUGAACACAGGGAGUUUUCGGCGACGAAUGCCCGGCUGCACGUACAAUCUUUUUUCUCAGGUCAAACUGAUUCACCCCACAUACAAACUCAGAGUACAACCACUUUUGUAUCUCUUGGGAAUGCAGCACACACUGCGACAUCGGCCACUAACCGCACGACGCAUGACUCGUAGGAGUACUCCACUUGAUCAACAAGUGGGCGUUCAAACUGCCAUGAUCAAAAGGGUCCAAAAGUAUCAUUGACAUUAGUUAUUUACUAGUCAUCAACACGUGUAGUGCCUAUAAUUCCAAACAUACAUAAAUCUAAAAAUAUCCAAAUGACAUCCAUUCUACGUUAAUCUUUUAGAAUUUCAGAUAUAGUUAAACAUAGAAAAUUAGUUUUAAAAAUAUAAUUAAGACAUUGAAAUAGUAAUUUUAAUACGGGAAAAAAAUUAUUUCUUGGGUUAAAUAACUUCUUUGGUGUGCACUGAAAUUUUGUUCGUUAACCGUUUGAAUUCUUCAAAACCUAGUUCCUCUGUAAUGAAUCAAAAUAGUACAUACAAAUUGCAUAGAAUUAUUUAUCUAAAAUGUUAGUACCUACGGACUCUUGUUAAUUCAAUAGAAAAUUAUAACUUACAAACACAAGUAGAUUGAUUGUAUGUCGCCACUUGAGGACAUACCUAUUACCCACUGAUUCUCCUCUACUUCCUAUAGUGUAUGAACUGCUCAUGAGCAGCGUGCUGAACUGUUGUUAGAUGGAAAUUCACUAAUGAAAUUUAUUGGAAUUUUUUAGGUUAACUGAAUGGGCAUAUAGUAUAUGUUGGCUCCAUGGAGCAUUUGCUCCCGGAUAAACAUUACCAAAAAAAGUGGUUAAAUGCUGCUAAAAAAUUGUGUACAUUUUUGUGAAUGUCCGUGUUAGUGUAGCGAGCAGGCUUGCCAACUUUCAUGUGAAACGGAGCAGUAUUGUUUCGUCAGUGAAAAAACAAAUUUGAGGUGACAUUAUAGGGUAACAUUUGAUGUUCAAAUUAUUUUAUUUUUGCAAAAGCCAAAAUGUUUAACCUGUUUGCCCAAAAAUUUGCACGUAGCAUUUGGAUGUGACUAUAAAUACAUAAAAACUGUAUGAAUUAUUUUGACAUUUCAAAAUAUAUUUAUCAUGCGCAGGAGCAAAUACUCCCAGAAGGCAAAUUGGAUUUCUGCAUAUAGUAGGAUUUGUGGACAUAUAAGGUCUGUUUGGCAACUACCCAUCGCCAAAAAGAUCUUCAAAUCCAGCUCCCCAAUCUCGCAUCCAACUUCUCAAGGAAAAUCACCGAUCGGGAAAACUGUUUGGCGAUAGAACUCCCAUUUUGAUAGGAUGCCUGGAUCACGAGAUAGAAGGAGAUGCAAAGUUCUACCUAAGAGAUAAUCAUGUGAUUAUUCUUUUUCUACAAAAGCGACAUGAGACUGCACACAUUAUAGGGUGAUUCAAAACAAAUAUCCAGAUAUGCGUUUUAUUUUUAUUGGAAUGUGGGUGUUUUCUGUUUUAUAGUGGUUUGACGCGGG